rnacentral:other from 1 species
AGUCUCCUGCCGUGUUCGCGAUUGUCAUAUAUUCCUUGAACCAUUUUUGUGCAUAGGCUGCGGAAUUUCGUUCGAUGGGCGUGAUCAUCGCUAGUCCGAUGAACCCGAAAUUGAACUAACUGUGGCCAACUUGAACCUCGUGGUUCAGGAUGCCGGCAAAGCGGCACAGGCGGGUCUUUA